rnacentral:tRNA from 2 species
GCCAGAGUAGCUCAGUAGGUAGAGCGCCUCACUUGUAAUGAGGAUGUCGCGGGUUCAACUCCUGUCUCUGGCUCCA